AUAGGGUCUCAUUCUGUCAGCCAGGCUGGAGUGCAGUGGCACUAUUAUAGCUCACUGCAGCCUCAAAUGCCUGGGCUCAGGCAGUCUUCCCACCUCUGCCUCCUGAGUAGAUGGGACUACAGGCAUGUGCCACCAAGCCCAGCUAAUUUUUCAGUUUUAAAUUUUUUGUAGAGAUGGGGGUCUUGCUAUGUCACCCAGGCUGGUCUUGAACACCUGGCCUCAAGUGAUCCUCCGGCCUCGCUCUGUCAAAGCUCUGGGAUUACAGACAUGAGCCACUGCACCUGGCUCUGUCUCCCCUUCCUAUGUGUGUUGGCUCUAGAACAAGAGAAGCCUUGUUGAGAUUCAUGGCUGCCCCUUGCACCCCAUCACCUCUCUGACUUUGGGCAAGUUGCCUGGUCUCUCUCAGCCUUUAUUUUCUUUUUGUGAAAUGGGGAUAAUAAUAGUACUUGCCUCAUAGGCAAAAUGUUGUGAGAACUAAAUGAGAAAAUACAUGUAAAGCUCUUGGCACUUAGGUCUUUUUAUGAUUAUGAUGAUAAUCACACAUAAUAAAUUAUUUCUCACAUCA
rnacentral:lncRNA from 1 species